CGUCAGGCAGCUGCGCCCCCAUCUCAGGGAUCUCUGAGACGCAGGGCCGCGCUCCCUCAGUCAGACUCGUGCUCGGGGGCCCUCUCGUCCAUCCCGGCCUGUCUCCUCGCACCGGCCUGUCUCCUCGCACCGUCCUCCACGGCGCAGCUGGGAGGAGGCAUCCUGAGGAGAGGGGCUGACCAGAGCGUCCCUGUGCCUGGCACACGUUCCCGCGGGCUCCCCGGCCGGCCUCCGGGCUGUCUGACCGCACCCCACCGCGGGGCACAAACCAGCUGCAGCCCGCAGACACUUAGGCCCCUCCACACCGUGUGUGAGGAGCGCGCACGUGGGGCUCAGACAGAGGAGAUGGGGCCCAGGCUGCAUACACCUCUCAAGCGUCCUGCUUGACACGUGUCUUCCUGGGGAAAGAGAUUGCUCCCUGAUGGCUCCACAUCCAGAGGAGGCUAUCGUCUCACAGCAAAAAAUAAAGGCAACAGAGUUUCAUCACAGGAAGAAACCCACGUGGUAAGAAGAGGGGAUGGGGGUAAG
ensembl:lncRNA